rnacentral:rRNA from 1 species
UACAGAGGUCUCAAGCGUUGUUCGGAUUCAUUGGGCGUAAAGGGUGCGUAGGCGGCGCGGUAAGUCGGGUGUGAAAUCUCGGGGCUUAACUCCGAAACUGCAUUCGAUACUGCCGUGCUUGAGGACUGGAGAGGAGACGUGGAAUUUACGGUGUAGCGGUGAAAUGCGUAGAUAUCAAGCGGAACACCAGUGGCGAAGGCGAGUCCCUGGACAACACCUGACACUGAGGCACGAAAGCUAGGGGAGCAAACAGG